CAGUACAAACUGAGCAGGCGAUGCCCAGAAGGGCGUGGGGCCGGGCCGCCCAGCGAGCGGCAGCAGAGUGUGUUUGAGGCACCUGCGGGACAGU
rnacentral:ncRNA from 1 species